ensembl:lncRNA
GUUUUUGCGUUCCGUCAUGCAAGAGGCAGGGCUGUCACAGAAAUCUGUCCUUUUAGGGAUAUAAUUGAGGUGGGCAGGACGGCAUGUGUGGGCGUGAUAGGGCGAUUGUUUCAGGGAAAGCAAGAUUGACAGAAGUGACAGCUCCAUUUAUUGGCUGCUAGAGUCUAGUCAGCAAAAGGGCAUUCAGGGCCACCGGCUGGCUCUGCUGGCGGCCUGUGCAUUCGGCGCCUGUAAUGCAUGAAGCCCUGGAGUCAUAGUUAACAGCAUCUCUAGUACUUAAGGAAUUUUAUCCAACAUGGAGGAUGAAGAGAUUUCUCCUGAAACGUCGAUGUCCAGUGGGUUGCGACCUCAAAAUGUGAAAACUGGUGAUGUUACAAAACCCUCAAAACUGAAGAGGGAAUACACUUUAUGGACGACGUAAGUAUUUCAAACAACUGCCAUAGUUAUUAGACAGUAUUAUAUAGCAAAGGUUUCACACCAGGCCUGAAAUGCAGUGUCCUUCAGACUAAUAAAAGCAGGCGAUUCAUGUACUUGGAAAGGGCC